GGGGCUGUAACGGUUUCGACAGGUUGGCGAACGUUCCAUCGAGAUGCAGGUCGAGAGGGAGUCCACUCUCGUAAAUCUAGGCUCAAAAAAAUAGAUGCAAACAACAUCGUACCUUUCGCUCGUAAAACUGCACCUGUUGCAGCAUAAAACACCUCUAAUUCAGGUUCGAGCGCUUACCGUCUGACACCGUUAAAGAUAGUAAGCACAACCCCAACGGUUGCUCUAGAAUUUCGCCUUUGGUCGGCAUUCUAGCUAAGACAAUACCAAAGCAUCCUAUUGUCCGGGAUAAAGGACAGUUCCCGCUUCGAGGAUUAGAGAAGCUAAACCUGUGAAUGAUUGAUAGAGCUAAUACCCAGUUUGGACACGGGUUCGACUCCCGUCAGCUCCACUU
rnacentral:tmRNA from 1 species